AGUCGAGCGGAUGAGAGGAGCUUGCUCCUCGAUUCAGCGGCGGACGGGUGAGUAAUGCCUAGGAAUCUGCCUAGUAGUGGGGGACAACGUUUCAAAAGGAACGCUAAUACCGCAUACGUCCUACGGGAGAAAGUGGGGGAUCUUCGGACCUCACGCUAUUAGAUGAGCCUAGGUCGGAUUAGCUAGUUGGUAGGGUAAAGGCCUACCAAGGCGACGAUCCGUAACUGGUCUGAGAGGAUGAUCAGUCACACUGGAACUGAGACACGGUCCAGACUCCUACGGGAGGCAGCAGUGGGGAAUAUUGGACAAUGGGCGAAAGCCUGAUCCAGCCAUGCCGCGUGUGUGAAGAAGGCCUUCGGGUCGUAAAGCACUUUAAGUUGGGAGGAAGGGCUCAUAGCGAAUACCUGUGAGUUUUGACGUUACCAACAGAAUAAGCACCGGCUAACUUCGUGCCAGCAGCCGCGGUAAUACGAAGGGUGCAAGCGUUAAUCGGAAUUACUGGGCGUAAAGCGCGCGUAGGUGGCUUGAUAAGUUGGAUGUGAAAUCCCCGGGCUCAACCUGGGAACUGCAUCCAAAACUGUCUGGCUAGAGUGCGGUAGAGGGUAGUGGAAUUUCCAGUGUAGCGGUGAAAUGCGUAGAUAUUGGAAGGAACACCAGUGGCGAAGGCGACUACCUGGACUGACACUGUCACUGAGGUGCGAAAGCGUGGGGAGCAAACAGGAUUAGAUACCCUG
rnacentral:rRNA from 1 species